rnacentral:rRNA from 1 species
AGCGAACGCUGGCGGCAGGCCUAACACAUGCAAGUCGAACGAACCUUUCGGGGUUAGUGGCGGACGGGUGAGUAACACGUGGGAACGUGCCUUUAGGUUCGGAAUAACUCAGGGAAACUUGUGCUAAUACCGAAUGUGCCCUUCGGGGGAAAGAUUAAUCGCCUUUAGAGCGGCCCGCGUCUGAUUCGCUAGUUGGUUGAGGUAAUGGCUCACCAAGGCGACGAUCAGGAGCUGGUCUGAGAGGAUGAUCAGCCACAUUGGGACUGAGACACGGCCCAAACUCCUACGGGAGGCAGCAGUGGGGAAUCUUGCGCAAUGGGCGAAAGCCUGACGCAGCCAUGCCGCGUGAAUGAUGAAGGUCUUAGGAUUGUAAAAUUCUUUCACCGGGGACGAUAAUGACGGUACCCGGAGAAGAAGCCCCGGCUAACUUCGUG